UAGGGAAUUUUUCGUCAAUGGGGGGAAACCCUGAACGAGCAAUGCCGCGUGAGUGAAGAAGGUCUUCGGAUCGUAAAGCUCUGUUGUAAGUGAAGAACGGCUCAUAGAGGAAAUGCUAUGGGAGUGACGGUAGCUUACCAGAAAGCCACGGCUAACUACGUGCCAGCAGCCGCGGUAAUACGUAGGUGGCAAGCGUUAUCCGGAAUCAUUGGGCGUAAAGGGUGCGUAGGUGGCGUACUAAGUCUGUAGUAAAAGGCAAUGGCUCAACCAUUGUAAGCUAUGGAAACUGGUAUGCUGGAGUGCAGAAGAGGGCGAUGGAAUUCCAUGUGUAGCGGUAAAAUGCGUAGAUAUAUGGAGGAACACCAGUGGCGAAGGCGGUCGCCUGGUCUGUAACUGACACUGAGGCACGAAAGCGUGGGGAGCAAAUAGGAUUAGAUACCCUGGUAGU
rnacentral:rRNA from 1 species